rnacentral:rRNA from 1 species
UACGUAGGGGGCAAGCGUUGUCCGGAAUCAUUGGGCGUAAAGAGCGUGUAGGCGGUUCGGUAAGUCGGCUGUGAAAGUCCAGGGCUCAACCCUGGGAUGCCGGUCGAUACUGCCGGACUAGAGUUCGGAAGAGGCGAGUGGAAUUCCUGGUGUAGCGGUGAGAUGCGCAGAUAUCAGGAGGAACACCAAUGGCGAAGGCAGCACUCUGGGACGUGACUGACGCUGAGACGCGAAAGCGUGGGGAGCAAACAGG